rnacentral:rRNA from 1 species
GCUUGUCUCAAAGAUUAAGCCAUGCAUGUCUUAGUGUAAAUAACUCUUAUGAAACUGCGAAUGGCUCAUUAAAUCAGUUAUCAAAUACGUGAUGGUCGCCUACUACAUGGAUAACCGUAGUAAUUCUAGAGCUAAUACAUGCAAAAAAUCCCGACUUUUGAAGGGAUGUAUUUAUUAGAUAAAAAGCCAAUACACCCUCUGGGUGGUUUGUGGUGAUUCAUAAUAACUGAUCGAAUCGCAUGGCCUCGUGCUGGCGAUAGUUCAUUCAAAUUUCUGCCCUAUCAGCUUUCGACGGUAGUGUAGUGGACUACCGUGGCAUUAACGGGUGACGGAGAAUUAGGGUUCGAUUCCGGAGAGGGAGCCUGAGAAAUGGCUACCACAUCCAAGGAAGGCAGCAGG